GUUAGGGACAAAGGGCAGCAGAAAACGGAUGGAUAGUCAUUUUGAUUUUUGUAUCUUUAUGUGCAAAUGGGACUAAAACCCUAAAUGAUUUAAAAAAUAAUCAUUUUAAUUCAUUAUUUGGACAGCGUUUUUAUACCAUGAGAGAUGAAAGAAUAAAAUACUGAGAGAGAUAAAGUGUUAAUAUUGUUCUGCACCUAUUACCGUUAAUGCGGCUCGAACUGCUGAAUGCACCCCUACAAAAGUGGUAUCCAAACGUGCGGCUUGAUCACAGCAUUGGAGCUUUUACUUCUGGUGGGAUUCUGAGAUAAUAUGGCGACAAUAAAAGCAAAAAACGCUUUUAGCCAUUGUUGUGUAUGGGGACAGAUUGGAUGAGUCAUCACAGCUGCCAGUUCAUGACUUGACAAUUAAAUACCAUAGCAACGGAGCAAUCAGCACGAACAGCUCAUACAGUCAGUCUGGUGCGUGUCUCGUGAUUGGUUGAGAGAGGAGGAGGAGGGAGGAAGAAGGACAGCACACUGAAGGUAGAGAACGGAGGAUGAGACGGUGCUCUUCACCAUGCAGGUACAAAGGAUAGCACCAACCUCACAGGUCAGAUUCAUCCAUCAUCAUGUGUGUCAGAGCCAUUCUUCCUGUUUCACAGUCUUGCAAUGCACCUGUUUCUGUAUUCAUUUGUUUUUUUUUAUUUCCAGAUGCCUCUGCAUGGACUUGAAGCUGUUGUCCAGGAGGAGGUUCUGACCCAGGUUCUGACCCAGAAGACACAGCUGACCUCACCUUGGCAUUGACCUGCAGGUCCUUUCAUUGUGUCUGACCCGGUUUUCAUGAAGAAGACUCACUUUGCUUGGCUGGACGAUCAACUGGGGUAAAUUUUCAGAGUCAUUCCAGGCAGAAAACCGGAUUCCUCUUGCUGUUGUAACGUGUUCUUCCUGCCACCGGUGAUAUAAAGACUGUGGGCUUCACCGGCAGUGGAAGACCAGGAGAGUUCCCUCCUUCUUACUGUGAUGGGUCUUCUGGACCCUGACCUGAAUGUCAACACUGAAUGCAAGGAGAAUAUUAGUUGUUUUCCACAAUCUGUC